ensembl:snRNA LOC120098435 U6 spliceosomal RNA
GUGCUCGCUUUGGCAGCACAUAUACUAAAAUUGGAAUGAUACAGAGAAGAUUAGCAUGGUCCCUGCGCAAGGAUGACACGCAAAGUAAGUGUCCUUUGUGAUU